UCCCCUGUGGCUCAGUUGGUAGAGCAUGGUGUUUGCAACGCCAGGGUUGUGGGUUCGAUUCCCACGGGGGGCC
rfam:Salmo salar isolate Sally breed double haploid chromosome ssa26, whole genome shotgun sequence.